rnacentral:sRNA from 2 species
GCGUCAGGAGCGGGCCCGGUUGGCCAAAUAUAAAUAUAUAAUAAAAUAAAAUAAAAUCAAUCAAAAAUCAAUCAAAAGGUGUUGGCAACGGCGAUUUCAAAGGGAACCCAGCGACCGUCGCGCCACCAAGAAAAAAAGCCUUUUAAUGAUGGUUAGAAGGGAUUGAGGGGUCCAGGCUCCAGGCCAGUGGCAUUGUCACAUAUAUUAAGACGCACCCACGUUCCUCGCGGAAACAAUUUCCAUUUGUCGAUUCAAAGGAAGUUUUGUGUUACAGGAGAGAUCGAGGUGGUUGAUACUUUCAAAACACUCUAUUACUUUCUUUACUCCUCGCAGCUCAUAAAUACAGUCAGAAAGAGAUGUUUGCAUCGCGUGGGUAGUAAUUGGUACCCUCCAUGGAAGCAGGGAGAAAACACAGGGAACAGACAAUGCGGGAGUUAUAUCGUUUAUCAUUGUCAGAAAAUUGCUGGCGAGCUAUUAAUAUGAUCUGACAUAUCAAGAUGACUGUUACUCCUUUUCCGGUCAAGUCUUUCCAAGCUAGAUGGCUGUGCUGCUCAUUCUCCCUCACCGAAACGAAACGUGAACAUCCCAACCAUAUAUAUAUAGAGUGUUCUCAUCAAUAUUUUCUCUAAAUAAACCAUAUCGGAUAAAUGUCCCUGCUCUCCCUCCCCUGAUCAACAAAUCCAACGUUUGGGUCAUAUUUCUCCGACCAGAAGUGGAACUAUCAGCUGCAUCGUCUUUGGUUGUCUACUCCUCACGAUGGUCCUUGAGCGUCACGCGUUCCCCUACUUUCAUACGGAACAGAAUAUCUAAUUUCGCGACCAGGC